rnacentral:rRNA from 1 species
GGGUCAGUAGGUUGGUCGUGCCACCGGUACGUACUGGUCUCACUGAUUCCUCCUUCCUGAAGAACCGUAAUGCCAUUAAUUUGGAGUUGCGGGGGAACAGGACUGUUACUUUGAAAAAAUUAGAGUGUUUAAAGCAAGCUAACGCUUGAAUACAUUAGCAUGGAAUAAUGAAAUAGGACGAUCGAUCCUAUUUUGUUGGUUUCUAGGAUUGACGUA